GUGGGGAAUAUUGCACAAUGGGCGAAAGCCUGAUGCAGCAACGCCGCGUGAGGGAUGACGGCCUUCGGGUUGUAAACCUCUUUUAGUAGGGAAGAAGCGAAAGUGACGGUACCUACAGAAAAAGCGCCGGCUAACUACGUGCCAGCAGCCGCGGUAAUACGUAGGGCGCAAGCGUUGUCCGGAAUUAUUGGGCGUAAAGAGCUCGUAGGCGGUUUGUCACGUCUGCUGUGAAAACCCGAGGCUCAACCUCGGGCCUGCAGUGGGUACGGGCAGACUAGAGUGCGGUAGGGGAGACUGGAACUCCUGGUGUAGCGGUGGAAUGCGCAGAUAUCAGGAAGAACACCAAUGGCGAAGGCAGGUCUCUGGGCCGUAACUGACGCUGAGGAGCGAAAGCAUGGGGAGCGAACAGGAUUAGAAACCCCAGUAGUCC
rnacentral:rRNA from 1 species